UACGUAGGGGGCAAGCGUUGUCCGGAAUCAUUGGGCGUAAAGAGCGCGUAGGCGGCCCUGUAAGUCCGCUGUGAAAGCCCCGGGCUUAACCUGGGAAUGGCAGUGGAAACUAGAGGACUUGAAUCCGGCAGAGGGGGGUGGAAUGCCACGUGUAGCAGUGAAAUGCGUAGAGAUGUGGCGGAACACCGAUGGCGAAGGCAGCCCCCUGGGCUGAGAUUGACGCUCAGGCACGAAAGCGUGGGGAGCAAACAGG
rnacentral:rRNA from 1 species